rnacentral:lncRNA from 1 species
AGAGCCACAACAUUUUGAUGCAGCUCAAGCUCGUGGAUGCCAUCAAAGAAGCAGGAAACGUGAAGGUACUUGAAUAUUCAUGAUAAUUCAAUUUGUACUCUAAGCUCUUAAUGGCUAUCUCUGCAUAUUUUUUUCUACUCCUUCGGGCUAUCCUGCAUGCAAGUGAUGCCGUUCAAAGUUAGCUAUUAGUUUUUAACAUGGAGGUGUUUCGUUGUUGUUGUUAAAACUGGUAGCUAGCAAGAAGCACUCUGGAAUACUGAAUAAUGGCUCCACAUAAUUUAACUCUUUCCUGAGAUAACAUUAGAAACAAUAGCAUAUGACCUAGUUAAUUACCUUCUGGCGAUGAUCUAAUCGCUUAAAAUAAGAUAGCGGUGGAACUCCACCAUUUAAAGCGAAACAAAGCAUGAUAUGCCUGAUCACUUUAGUCGUUGUAUUAUAAUCUAUUUGCUUAUGGCAAAGGCCCAAAUUAAAGGCUUGUGCAAUAUACUUUCCACUUUAAAACAAUAUCCUAAUUAAGUUCAUUUAAGUGACUACUUCUACCCAUUGGCCACUUUAGGAUAUUAAUUAAUAAUGACGAUCAAAUUGUAGGUUUCUUAAGGAUUUCUAACCAAAAUAACAAUAAGUUAAUGUAAGAUAACAUAAAAAAUCAUUGUCACGCAUGCUUAAUUUUGUAUUAUCUUACUAGGGUACUAAUUAAGAAGUCUAAACAUACUUCUAUUGAGUUGUGGCAGCGUUUCUUGCCUUCGGAAUUUGGUAUGGACCCAGCAAGAAUGGAGCAUGCACUAGCACCAGGAAGAGAAACAUUUGAUCAGAAAAUGAUAGUAAGAAAGGCAAUUGAGGAUGCUAAGAUCCCCUUCACUUAUGUAUCCGCUAGCUGCUUUGCGGG